UAAUCCACGCGCGGAGUCCAGGGUCCCUCUACAGCGGUUUCCCUGGGAACCACUCUGGCUGGAAAUCCUGUGGCUGCCUUUGGAGGAUGUGAACUCUCCUGGGAUGGACCAGAAGUGCUCUGCGCUCUGCUAUUAACCCCAUGAAAAGAGUUCUUUCCAGAUAAGCGGAUACUUGCGGCUGCGUGGAGUGGAUCCCAGUCCCAGUUUGCUACCAGCAAUCCCAACCCAAGACACAGUCGCUGUCUCCAGGUGUGCUCUAGCUUCUGUUCCCACCCACCUCUGUGUGAGGCAAGUCGAACCGCGUCAGCAGACAAGAACUGGGAAGGGUGAGCAGAUUCAGACCAGGACACCCCACAUAAGGACUGUGACAACUAGUCACAGAGCACAGAGCAUGAGUUCUCCAUGCUAAGGAGGUAUCUUAGGAUGGGCAGGCCCUGAGGGUUUAGCCAAUAAGCUUCCCUUCCAGGACAUUUCUUCCUGCAAAAGGGAUUUAAUCUCUG
rnacentral:lncRNA from 1 species